rnacentral:rRNA from 1 species
GUGAGGAAUAUUGGUCAAUGGACGAGAGUCUGAACCAGCCAAGUAGCGUGAAGGAUGACUGCCCUAUGGGUUGUAAACUUCUUUUAUACGGGAAUAAAGUGAGCCACGUGUGGCUUUUUGUAUGUACCGUAUGAAUAAGGAUCGGCUAACUCCGUGCCAGCAGCCGCGGUAAUACGGAGGAUCCGAGCGUUAUCCGGAUUUAUUGGGUUUAAAGGGAGCGUAGGCGGGUUGUUAAGUCAGUUGUGAAAGUUUGCGGCUCAACCGUAAAAUUGCAGUUGAUACUGGCGACCUUGAGUGCAACAGAGGUAGGCGGAAUUCGUGGUGUAGCGGUGAAAUGCUUAGAUAUCACGAAGAACUCCGAUUGCGAAGGCAGCUUACUGGAUUGUAACUGACGCUGAUGCUCGAAAGUGUGGGUAUCAAACAGGAUUAGAAACCCCAGUAGUCC